rnacentral:rRNA from 1 species
ACGUAUGGGGCAAGCGUUGUUCGGAGUUAUUGGGCGUAAAGGGCGUGUAGGCGGCCCGUCAAGUCUGGUGUGAAAGCGCAGGGCUCAACCCUGCGUAUGCGCUGGAAACUGACAGGCUUGAGUCCUGAGGGGGAAACUGGAAUUCCUGGUGUAGGAGUGAAAUCUGUAGAUAUCAGGAAGAACACCGGUGGCGAAGGCGAGUUUCUACUCAUGGACUGACGCUGAGGCGCGAAAGCGUGGGGAGCAAACAGGAUUAGAUACCCUGGUAGUCCACGCUGUAAACGAUGUGCACUAGGCGUGGGGCGCAGUGAGCGCUCCGUGCCGUAGCUAACGUGUUAAGUGCACCGCCUGGGGAGUAUGCUCGCAAGGGUG